CACGCACAUGCACACAAAAAGCUGCUGCCUCCACAUGAGUGUUUGUGUCCUGAAAUGAGGGAAAAAAAAAACCACCUCUUAAAAGAGGGUUACUUUUUUUGCCGAUCCUAUUUAAAGUAAUCUUUCUCCUCACUGAGAACGUUCCCUUGGCGUUACUGCGGCUUUCCCCUCACUGAGGAUGUGCUCCUGGUGUAACUGCAGCUUUGUCCUCACUGAAAAAGUUCUUACAAAGCAUUUGUGUGGAUGACAGUGUUCGGUGGUCAUUCCACCCCUAAUUCCUGUGUGCUUUCAUGGCAAUUGCCCUCACGCUUUCACUGAGGAAAGACCAGCUGUUAGGAUGCACUAAUUGCAACAACUAGUUGUGACUGUAACCCAUUAAGGUUGGCACCUGAAAAGGUCUCUCUGAAAACUUUUAUCAGUAGCUCCGUAUUUUUCCAAAAUAACGUCUUCUCUAAUCUUAACAGUAGGCAUACAACACAGCAAGCGGGGAAGCAAUCGCUCCCAUUACCACCAAAGCCCUUGCCGCAGACCAACCUGCCUUUGGGGUCUGGAUCCAGGUCUGUUUCUCAGCAUUUUCCACUCCUGUCCUCACUGAGCCGCCUGGAGGCCUGUGACCUUCUGGUGCCUGCUUGACUUCUGCCACCACGGCCAGCUCUGGAGCUUGCUUUGGCUGGAGCGCCUGGAAGACAUCUGCCUGAGGAGCCCUUAGAAUGGAGUUGGACCCUGCUGCAGGAGGGAUCAUAACAGUAUGGAAGAUGGUUCCCUUUAAAACAGCUUGCAGCUGGAUACAUGUGACCUUACGAGAAGGAGUGGGAAAGAAUGCGGUGAGAAGCAACCACUAGAUUAUAGAGUCACUGUGAAGAAUUUCAUACUUGUACUUCAAUCAAGUAUACUUUCCAGAGGUAUCUUUCGUUUGACGUGAACUUGUCUUUCACUUCCCAGGGCAGGUUCACUUCAGUUUUCUCCAACGGACAACCACUUUAGUCAGUGACAUUUGCUGUAAGUUGCAUUGUCUAGUUUAAAAUUUGGGUUCUUGUUAUGCCUUUAUCCCCUAGCUUAAAGAGCAUGUUAGUACCUGCUGUUAUAUCCCUGUGAUGGUACUUCCAUAAUGUGAUCAUAUUGCCUCUUUUCUUGCAAGGCUGAAUAGAUUGGGCACCUGAAAUCUCUCCCCGGAGAGGAAUUAUUUAAAAUCAUUUUUAGGUUUCCUUUCUUAACCUUCUCCGGUAUUUCAAUAUCCUUUGAAAAAUGCAGAUACCAAGACUGGGCAGCUUCUAGUAUCUGUCUCGGUGAUGCUUCAUGCAGAGAGAAAAUUGCUUCUCUACUCCUACUUGUUACUCCUCUGGAACAUCUGAGGAUCGCUGCAUCCUCUUCGGGCCCUUUCUUUCCUUUCCUUAGGAGUAUAGCACAAUUCCUUCCCACUCUGCCUUUGUGUGCAGGAUAACAUACAUACAUACCAGUUCUGCUCCUGAGAGGGUGGUGGUUUCAUUCAUAUUUUUGCAUUGAGUUAUACUUCAAUUAAGCUCAUCUUACCUGGUUCUUCAUGUGUUACAUAUGUAAUGAGAAUGCCAUGUGUCGUUAUAUAACACACCUUUCAAAAAUCUGUUAUGACCAUGGCUGUGUAACUUUACUAACCACACAGAUAAUUUCCUCUCAAAAACAUAAAUCAUGUUUUCUUGGUAGGCUACAUCCCUUAAAACAAACAAAUAUACACUGUCUGGCACCUACACAACUGAUUUUUUUUCUAUUGUCUUUUCGUUGGGGUUUGUUAACACCAGACUGACCAGUCUGUAACUAAGCGGCCACCAUAAUGUGGUUUUCUGGAUCUUUUCAGGAAACUGAGCAGUCAAUCUUUCAAGAUUUUCCAGUUAUGACAAGAUUUACUUCAAGUAGUGUCAGAGAGCUGGGUAUUUUCUCCACCCCCAGCCCACUCUUUUGGGAUUCAUUUGUACCAUUUUUCUGGGUUGGGUGGUUUUUGUAUGUUCUUAGGAGUUGCUUCUUAAUCUCUAUUUUAUGAGUCAAUGAUCUGAGAAAUACAUUCUCCUUUUCUUUCCAGAUAUAAAACUGAAAUAUUUAUCACCCAUUUAUACCUCUUCUGCCUUCUCUUCUAAUAAUACUUCUUACUCUUCCAAAUACACAAAUGCUUUAUUGCCCCUAGCCCUGCCAGACAUGGAUUUUUCCCUGCUGGAUUUUGCUGCCUCUAUGAAAUCUCAACACUUUUUAAUUAAUGUUGAUUGCCCUCUACUUUCCUUUCUCAACAUUAGUUUUACAUGGUAAGUUUUUCAUCUUAAUUGCUGACUUCACUUCUCUAGGAAUGGGCUUUCAAGCAAAAUUGUCCUCUUGAUUCCUGGUAGAUUUGCAGCUUUUUGGUAACCCACUAUACUUCCAUAUACACUUCUCUAUUUUUUUCCCAUAUUUGUAAUUCUUCCUCAGAAAAUCACUUUAUUUCCCC